rnacentral:rRNA from 1 species
UCCGGUUGAUCCUGCCGGACCUGACUGCUAUCGGAUUGAUACUAAGCCAUGCUAGUCUUUGUAGUAAUACAAGGCAUACGGCUCAGUAACGCGUAGUCAACCUACCCUAUGGACGGGGAUAAUCUCGGGAAACUGAGCAUAAUACCCGGUAGACCACUUAUCCUGGAAUGGUUAGUGGUUAAAAUGAUUCGUCGCCAUAGGAUGGGACUGCGGCCUAUCAGCUUGUUGGUGAGGUAAUGGCCCACCAAGGCGAUUACAGGUACGGGCUCUGAGAGGAGAAGCCCGGAGAUGGGUACUGAGACAAGGACCCAGGCCCUAUGGGGCGCAGCAGGCGAGAAAACUUUGCAAUGUGCGAAAGCACGACAAGGUUAAUCCGAGUGAUUUCUGCUAAAGGAAUCUUUUGUUAGUUCUAAAAAUACUAGUGAAUAAGGGGUGGGCAAGUUCUGGUGUCAGCCGCCGCGGUAAAACCAGCACCUCAAGUGGUCAGGAGGAUUAUUGGGCCUAAAGCAUCCGUAGCCUGUUCUAUAAGUUUGCGGUUAAAUCUAUACGCUCAACGUAUAGGCUGCCGUAAAUACUGUAGAACUAGGGAGUGGGAGAGGUAGACGGUACUCGAUAGGAAGGGGUAAAAUCCUUUGAUCUAUUGAUGACCACCUGUGGCGAAGGCGGUCUACCAGAACACGUUCGACGGUGAGGGAUGAAAGCUGGGGGAGCAAACCGGAUUAGAUACCCGGGUAGUCCCAGCUGUAAACGAUGCAGACUCGAUGAUGCAUUGGCAUAUAGCCAGUGCAGUGUCGCAGGGAAGCCGUUAAGUCUGCCGCCUGGGAAGUACGUACGCAAGUAUGAAACUUAAAGGAAUUGGCGGGGGAGCACCACAAGGGGUGAAGCCUGCGGUUCAAUUGGAGUCAACGCCGGA